UUAAGCGACUAAGCGUACACGGUGGAUGCCCUGGCAGUCAGAGGCGAUGAAGGACGUGCUAAUCUGCGAAAAGCGUCGGUAAGGUGAUAUGAACCGUUACAGCCGGCGAUGUCCGAAUGGGGAAACCCAGUGCAAUUCGUUGCACUAUCGUUAACUGAAUACAUAGGUUAACGAGGCGAACCGGGGGAACUGAAACAUCUAAGUACCCCGAGGAAAAGAAAUCAACCGAGAUUCCCCAGUAGCGGCGAGCGAACGGGAGCAGCCCAGAGUCUGAAUCAGCUUGUGUUAGUGGAACGGUCUGGAAAGUCCGACGGUACAGGGUGAUAGUCCCGUACACCAAAAUGCACAGGUUGUGAACUCGAAGAGUAGGGCGGGACACGUGGUAUCCUGUCUGAAUAUGGGGGGACCAUCCUCCAAGGCUAAAUACUCCUGACUGACCGAUAGUGAACCAGUACCGUGAGGGAAAGGCGAAAAGAACCCCGGCGAGGGGAGUGAAAAAGAACCUGAAACCGUGUACGUACAAGCAGUGGGAGCACCUUCGGGUGUGACUGCGUACCUUUUGUAUAAUGGGUCAGCGACUUAUAUUCUGUAGCAAGGUUAACCGUAUAGGGGAGCCGCAGGGAAACCGAGUCUUAACUGGGCGUUAAGUUGCAGGGUAUAGACCCGAAACCCGGUGAUCUAGCCAUGGGCAGGUUGAAGGUUGGGUAACACUAACUGGAGGACCGAACCGACUAAUGUUGAAAAAUUAGCGGAUGACUUGUGGCUGGGGGUGAAAGGCCAAUCAAACCGGGAGAUAGCUGGUUCUCCCCGAAAGCUAUUUAGGUAGCGCCUCGUGAACUCAUCUUCGGGGGUAGAGCACUGUUUCGGCUAGGGGGUCAUCCCGACUUACCAACCCGAUGCAAACUACGAAUACCGAAGAAUGUUAUCACGGGAGACACGGCGGGUGCUAACGUCCGUCGUGAAGAGGAAACAACCCAGACCGCCAGCUAAGGUCCCAAAGUCAUGGUUAAGUGGGAAACGAUGUGGGAAGGCACAGACAGCCAGGAUGUUGGCUUAGAAGCAGCCAUCAUUUAAAGAAAGCGUAAUAGCUCACUGGUCGAGUCGGCCUGCGCGGAAGAUGUAACGGGGCUAAACCAUGCACCGAAGCUGCGGCAGCGACACUAUGUGUUGUUGGGUAGGGGAGCGUUCUGUAAGCCUGCGAAGGUGUGCUGUGAGGCAUGCUGGAGGUAUCAGAAGUGCGAAUGCUGACAUAAGUAACGAUAAAGCGGGUGAAAAGCCCGCUCGCCGGAAGACCAAGGGUUCCUGUCCAACGUUAAUCGGGGCAGGGUGAGUCGACCCCUAAGGCGAGGCCGAAAGGCGUAGUCGAUGGGAAACAGGUUAAUAUUCCUGUACUUGGUGUUACUGCGAAGGGGGGACGGAGAAGGCUAUGUUAGCCGGGCGACGGUUGUCCCGGUUUAAGCAUGUAGGCUGGUUAUCCAGGCAAAUCCGGAUAAUCAAGGCUGAGGUGUGAUGACGAGGCACUACGGUGCUGAAGUAACAAAUGCCCUGCUUCCAGGAAAAGCCUCUAAGCAUCAGGUAACAUCAAAUCGUACCCCAAACCGACACAGGUGGUCAGGUAGAGAAUACCAAGGCGCUUGAGAGAACUCGGGUGAAGGAACUAGGCAAAAUGUUGCCGUAACUUCGGGAGAAGGCACGCUGGUGUAGGUGAAGUCCCUGCGGAUGGAGCUGAGACCAGUCGAAGAUACCAGCUGGCUGCAACUGUUUAUUAAAAACACAGCACUGUGCAAACACGAAAGUGGACGUAUACGGUGUGACGCCUGCCCGGUGCCGGAAGGUUAAUUGAUGGGGUUAUCCGUAAGGAGAAGCUCUUGAUCGAAGCCCCGGUAAACGGCGGCCGUAACUAUAACGGUCCUAAGGUAGCGAAAUUCCUUGUCGGGUAAGUUCCGACCUGCACGAAUGGCGUAAUGAUGGCCAGGCUGUCUCCACCCGAGACUCAGUGAAAUUGAACUCGCUGUGAAGAUGCAGUGUACCCGCGGCAAGACGGAAAGACCCCGUGAACCUUUACUAUAGCUUGACACUGAACAUUGAGCCUUGAUGUGUAGGAUAGGUGGGAGGCUUUGAAGCGUGGACGCCAGUCUGCGUGGAGCCAACCUUGAAAUACCACCCUUUAAUGUUUGAUGUUCUAACGUUGGCCCCUGACCGGGGUUGCGGACAGUGUCUGGUGGGUAGUUUGACUGGGGCGGUCUCCUCCCAAAGCGUAACGGAGGAGCACGAAGGUUAGCUAAUCCUGGUCGGACAUCAGGAGGUUAGUGCAAUGGCAUAAGCUAGCUUGACUGCGAGCGUGACGGCGCGAGCAGGUGCGAAAGCAGGUCAUAGUGAUCCGGUGGUUCUGAAUGGAAGGGCCAUCGCUCAACGGAUAAAAGGUACUCCGGGGAUAACAGGCUGAUACCGCCCAAGAGUUCAUAUCGACGGCGGUGUUUGGCACCUCGAUGUCGGCUCAUCACAUCCUGGGGCUGAAGUAGGUCCCAAGGGUAUGGCUGUUCGCCAUUUAAAGUGGUACGCGAGCUGGGUUUAGAACGUCGUGAGACAGUUCGGUCCCUAUCUGCCGUGGGCGCUGGAGAAUUGAGGGGGCUGCUCCUGAGAGGACCGGAGUGGACGCAUCACUGGUGUUCGGGUUGUCAUGCCAAUGGCACUGCCCGGUAGCUAAAUGCGGAAGAGAUAAGUGCUGAAAGCAUCUAAGCACGAAACUUGCCCCGAGAUGAGUUCUCCCUGAGACUAUAAGUCUCCUGAAGGAACGUUAAAGACGAUGACGUUGAUAGGCCGGGUGUGUAAGCGCAGCGAUGCGUUGAGCUAACCGGUACUAAUGAACCGUGAGGCUUAACCU
rnacentral:rRNA from 1 species